CCUACGGGAGGCAGCAGUGAGGAAUAUUGGUCAAUGGGCGCGAGCCUGAACCAGCCAAGUAGCGUGAAGGAUGACUGCCCUACGGGUUGUAAACUUCUGUUAGCCGGGAAGAACGGUCACUGUGCUAAUCAGCUGUGAAUUGACGGUACCUGCAAAGGAAGCACCGGCUAACUCCGUGCCAGCAGCCGCGGUAAUACGGAGGGUGCGAGCGUUAAUCGGAAUUACUGGGCGUAAAGCGCUCGUAGGCGGUAUGUCAAGUCAAGGGUGAAAUGCCCGCGCUCAACGUUGGAACUGCCUUUGAAACUGGCAAACUGGAGUGUGUGAGAGGUUAGUGGAAUUCCAGGUGUAGGAGUGAAAUCCGUAGAUAUCUGGAGGAACACCAGUGGCGAAGGCGACUAUCUGGCACAUAACUGACGCUGAGGAGCGAAAGCGUGGGUAGCAAACAGGAUUAGAUACCCCAGUAGUC
rnacentral:rRNA from 1 species